GGGAUUGUGGCUCAGUGGUAGAGCGCUUGCCUAGCACACAUGAGGUCCUGGGUUCAACUCUCAGCAUCCCA
rnacentral:tRNA from 1 species